ensembl:lncRNA
UUUUCUUGGAUGAAGGCUGGUUCCUGUGAAGGAGUGUUGUGUAGCUAGAGAUCCUAUCGCUAGUUGGCUUUGUGGCAGUGCAAAAACUGUCACAAACACAUUCAAAGAUGAAAGGCUUCAUCAGUGCACUGUCACAAAGCAACGAGUGUCAAUUGUUGUUUGCUGGUACCAGAUCAGAUUCCUCGGCCCAGAAUAGAAGGAUAUACUGGACUUUGCUUCUGCAAACAGGAGGAGCAAGUAACAAAUGACUAUAGAAGUUGAAGUUAAUACUUCAUUAUUUGAGAGAAUGGCCUUUCCUUAAAAUGAUCUCGAAGUAGUUCCUUGUGCUUCAUUUGGUUCUACUCAUAUCAAAUCAUGUCUUUGUUUUCUGUCCAAGUGCUGUUGUACAGAACUUAUUUCUAAAGAACUUAGUGAAAAAAUUAUAGGUAUGCUACCUUUAUGUUAGUGAGGUGUACUUAUAUUCUUAUAUAUCAACAAAAUAUGUGGAAAUGUAAAAAUUCCUGGGUAUGCUGAAGCUUCUUCCUGGAGGAAAAUAAAAGUGAGGAUAUUGUUGUCCCCUGCAAAUAGGCUUCCCUCUCUCCUCCAUCCUAUUUAUGUUCUUGUUUAUUUUGCAGGAAUUGUGUUUUUGAGACAGAUCUCAGAAAAGACUUGGCUAUUUAGAAUUUUUUUAAUAGUGUAUAGUCAUGAUUAAAUCUUGAUACAACUACAAUUAUUACUUGGCAAGCAGUAAAAACUCUGAAAGAAAAUUCAUUUUCAGUAAUGCUUAAAAUGAAUGUCUGAAUAACAUUUUUUUAAUAACGGAAUUCCUUACCAGGUCUUCCUUUUGUGUAUGAACACCUAUAUAAUAUUAGAAUGUCUGUGUGAAGUUGUGGCCAUCUACUUUGUGGUUAUGCUACAGCUAAGAACAAAAUGUGCUACUGAGCUGAAAAAUGCAGUUAACCCAAUCAACAGGUUUUCAUCAAAUAUGUGUACCCCUUAUCUAAAUUAAGUAGUAUUAUCAUUACAGAAGACUAGAUCUUAGCUCUCUGUUCAGUAAUUCACUAAGGUGUAUAUUACAUCUCAGUAAGUGACUGUAUGAUAAGCCAGCUAUCCAAAGGUUUCUUUUGGCUCUGUUCUCAGUAUCUCAAUACAAGUUUAGAAUAUUGAUGUUGAAUGAUGACUUGUGGGGUUAUAAAUAUUGGAUGCUAAUAAACUUUCUGUCAAUUACAUCUUACGUCUUAAGAAUGCCCUGGAAUUGAACAAAUAUUAUUCAAGGUUGUCAGAACUUCAUUCAAUCUUGGGAGGGGAGGGCGGAAUUGAGAAAGAUGUAGAAAAAGGUAGACUGGAAGAACUUGCCUGGCGAUAGUUGGUAAGUCAUGGAGAUUCUGCAGUUGUUGACUGACAUUUUUCUUCCAAUGUACAUGCAUGCACAUGUGCACUGUAAGAGUCAUCAUUCAAGUAGAAUGCAACAAAGUGCAAACCUGAAUCUCUGAUAUUCAAAGUAGUAAGGGCAGUACAAUAGGAAUAUAAAAUACUUUAAAACACACUGUUUAGUGAGAACAUUGGUUCAUGUUUCCUUAAAGUCUUCAAAAGUAAAGAAUAUCAAGCUGAAUUCUGUGAUAGCACAUAAUAAAUGUUGAGCUACAUUCAAAAGAUCAGAUCUUAUUCUGUUUUCCUCCAAUUACAAAAUUAAAAGUGAGUUCAAGAU